AUUGAACGCUGGCGGCAGGCCUAACACAUGCAAGUCGAACGGUAACAGGAAGCAGCUUGCUGCUUUGCUGACGAGUGGCGGACGGGUGAGUAAUGUCUGGGAGACUGCCUGAUGGAGGGGGAUAACUACUGGAAACGGUAGCUAAUACCGCAUAACGUCGCAAGACCAAAGAGGGGGACCUUCGGGCCUCUUGCCAUCGGAUGUGCCCAGAUGGGAUUAGCUAGUAGGUGGGGUAACGGCUCACCUAGGCGACGAUCCCUAGCUGGUCUGAGAGGAUGACCAGCCACACUGGAACUGAGACACGGUCCAGACUCCUACGGGAGGCAGCAGUGGGGAAUAUUGCACAAUGGGCGCAAGCCUGAUGCAGCCAUGCCGCGUGUAUGAAGAAGGCCUUCGGGUUGUAAAGUACUUUCAGCGGGGAGGAAGGGAGUAAAGUUAAUACCUUUGCUCAUUGACGUUACCCGCAGAAGAAGCACCGGCUAACUCCGUG
rnacentral:rRNA from 1 species